rnacentral:rRNA from 1 species
UACAGAGGGUGCGAGCGUUAAUCGGAAUUACUGGGCGUAAAGCGCGCGUAGGCGGCUUUGCAAGUCGGGUGUGAAAUCCCCAGGCUUAACCUGGGAACUGCAUUCGAGACUGCAUUGCUAGAGUAUGGGAGAGGGAAGUGGAAUUUUCCGGUGUAGCGGUGAAAUGCGUAGAUAUCGGAAGGAACAUCAGUGGCGAAAGCGACUUCCUGGACCAAUACUGACGCUCAUGUGCGAAAGCGUGGGGAGCAAACAGG